GGGGGUGUGGUCUAGCUAGGUAUGACUCUGGGAGAAUGAAACACGUCUUCCAGCACGAAGUCGGGCUCCAGACCCGAAUGCCGGGAGUUCAAAUCUUCCCACCCCCACCA
rnacentral:tRNA from 1 species